UGUCGCCUGCGGUGUUCGAGCCGGCCCGAAAUCCCUUAGAACCUAGAUGUUUUCUAGGGGCCGAAAUCGAGCAUGUUGUUGAGCAAGUCCGCAAUAGCGGAAAGCCUGAUGCAGCUCAUGAGGCACCCACUUGGACCCACUCGGUUCAAGGUACAAGGCUGGGCUUCGGCACAGGCGGGUGGCAC
rnacentral:other from 1 species